GUUGCUUCUUCAUUGACCUAGUGGCCUAUAUUGGCCAUUCACAAUCAGAAGCAUAUAUUUAGAAAAUUGGCCAGUAUUUAACAGCAUGAUGCUUUUACUGUAGCAUUAUGUUACCUGUCUCCUGGUAAAUAA